rnacentral:rRNA from 1 species
CCUACGGGAGGCAGCAGUGGGGAAUCUUGCGCAAUGGGCGAAAGCCUGACGCAGCCAUGCCGCGUGAAUGAUGAAGGUCUUAGGAUUGUAAAAUUCUUUCACCGGGGACGAUAAUGACGGUACCCGGAGAAGAAGCCCCGGCUAACUUCGUGCCAGCAGCCGCGGUAAUACGAAGGGGGCUAGCGUUGCUCGGAAUUACUGGGCGUAAAGGGAGCGUAGGCGGAUAGUUUAGUCAGAGGUGAAAGCCCAGGGCUCAACCUUGGAAUUGCCUUUGAUACUGGCUAUCUUGAGUAUGGGAGAGGUUAGCGGAACUCCGAGUGUAGAGGUGAAAUUCGUAGAUAUUCGGAAGAACACCAGUGGCGAAGGCGGCUAACUGGCCCAUUACUGACGCUGAGGCUCGAAAGCGUGGGGAGCAAACAGGAUUAGAUACCCUGGUAGUCCACGCCGUAAACGAUGAGUGCUAGUUGUCGGCAUGCAUGCAUGUCGGUGACGCAGCUAACGACAUUAAGACACUCCGCCGUCGGGGAGGUACGGUCGGCGAGAAUUAAACUACAAAGGAAGUUAGACGG